rnacentral:rRNA from 1 species
GACGAACGCUGGCGGCGUGCUUAACACAUGCAAGUCGAACGGAAAGGCCCUGCUUUUGUGGGGUGCUCGAGUGGCGAACGGGUGAGUAACACGUGAGUAACCAGCCCUUGACUUUGGGAUAACUUCAGGAAACUGGGGCUAAUACCGGAUAGGAGCUCCUGCUGCAUGGUGGGGGUUGGAAAGUUUCGGCGGUUGGGGAUAGACUCGCGGCUUAUCAGCUUGUUGGUGGGGUAGUGGCUUACCAAGGCUUUGACGGGUAGCCGGCCUGAGAGGGUGACCGGCCACAUUGGGACUGAGAUACGGCCCAGACUCCUACGGGAGGCAGCAGUGGGGAAUAUUGCACAAUGGGCGGAAGCCUGAUGCAGCAACGCCGCGUGCGGGAUGACGGCCUUCGGGUUGUAAACCGCUUUCGCCUGUGACGAAGCGUGAGUGACGGUAAUGGGUAAAGAAGCACCGGCUAACUACGUG